CCAAGUUUCCAACCCAUCUUCCUCUGCCGGUCUGAUUUAUUGCAGACGUAUUGUUCUCAUUUACAGGUAUCAAAUUUAUUAUUCACAUGUUUGCUUUUACUUUCUUGUUAGUUUCAUUUGAUUUCCCCCCUUUUUUCUGUUCCUCUUAAAUCUGCUUUAAUUUUANNNNNNNNNNNNNNNNNNNNNNNNNNNNNNNNNNNNNNNNNNNNNNNNNNNNNNNNNNNNNNNNNNNNNNNNNNNNNNNNNNNNNNNNNNNNNNNNNNNNAUAUGGAUGUCAGAUUUUUAGGGUUAGGGCGUUUGGCAACAGCUAAUACUCCCUCAGUUCCACAAAAUCUCAUUUGCCAAUUUUUUUAUUUCGUAAAAAGAUUUCCUUUUAUUGAUAGUAGUAUAAAAUGACAUAAUAUUCUGAUGUAGUAGUUGAUAAAACUGUAUAAUAAGAGCUUAUUAAAAUAGAGACCUCUAUAAAAUAGAGGCUCUUAUUAAAUAUAUAAAAAGUUGUUUGAUAACUAAUCUAUCUAUUUUACUCUUAGAUCAAUUUAUACAAACUUAAAAUAAAAUCACCAAGAGUGUAUAACUAAUAAAGUAUUUCAAGUCUAAUAAAAUAUUGGUGGUGGUGGUGAAGAUGGGUGGUUGUGGUGGUGGAUGGUGGUGGUGGGUGGUGGUGGUGAAUGGUGGUGGUGAAGUGAAGAAUUAACAAAAAAUAAAGUGAAGGUAGUGUUGAUUGAUUUCACAAUUAAUAUAUGCGUGCAAGUAUAGACGGUCAACAAGUAAUAAAGUGAAAGUAAAGUAUCGUUCUUACAAGGAAUUAUUAAUAACAGUUACCAAGUACUAAUUCUUAACUAAACUAAUUUUAUUUAAACAAUCCAUUUAAGGUUUUGAAUUAAGUUAUUUAAUUAAAUUAAUUCUAAUUACCACUAGUUAAAGAUCAGAUUAUGGAGAUUUAAGAUCACAACUUCACUUAUUGCUUCACUUAAAUUAAUACACUUCUUAUCAAUUAUGCUUAUUAUUCUGAAUUGUUAAUCAAGAACACAUAAAUAAACAUGAGCAUCUCUCAAUGUAUCAUACUUAAAUCAACUUAAAUCCAUAGAUGAUAGAACUAAGAAGAACACCUUAAUUAACUAAUUCACUAUAUCUCUAUGUGAAUUAUAAUUAAAGAGGAUUUAAAGCACAAGUUCUUUAUCAGAUUACAUGCGGUAUAUAGGUAUAUUUCUAUCUUAGACACAAAUCAUGAAUUCCAACGCCAUGCAAAAAACAUAAUCACAUACUAUUAUGAUCAGAUUUAAAUCUAUAAUCCAUCUCUCGAGUUCAUAUAGAUUAUCACAGUAAUUGCUAGCUAGAUAAUUAAACAAAUAAAUCCAAAUCACAAUAGACAAUCCCUAAAAUAGAUUACAAUAAUUAAUAAAGAAACAUACUAAAAUAAGCUACGCAAGAAGCUCCGUUGUAAUCUUAAACAAAAGAAUUAGUUCAUAAUUAUUGAAUUAAAACAAAAAAUCCACAACUGAAUAAACAUUAAAAGAUAAAAAUAAGGGUAAAGAAGAGAAUAGAAUUUGUUGUCAGCAAAUCUAAUGCUCCCUCUUGCUCCUGCUCUUGAUCUUCAAUGGUUUCCAAGUUGUUUCAAUCUCCAAUCCAAUCCCAACUAGGGUUUUGUCAUACUCUAAUCUAAUCUAAUGGAAUGGAAUCCCCCCUAAUCCUUGUGAAUACUCCUCCUUUUAUAUCCCUAUUCAUGUGUCUUUUAGUCCUUUUUAAAGUCCUUCAAGUCUUCAGCUCAAACAAAUCCUUUUUAGAUCAACUUUUGAAUAUUUUUCUUUCUUCCCGACUACUUCGCCCGACGGAGUUGUUACACUAGGAAACUCCGCACCGGUGCAUGAACAGUACCAGAAAUUACAAAAACGCUAUUAAGCUCCAUUUUCAUGUUUUGACCCUCCGAAGUUGUUUCUUACAACACAAACACAAAAAUAAGUAAAAUGACACUAAAAAUACUUAAAGUUAACAAAGAAUUAAGCCUUAACGGUGUUCAAUUCAUAGGUAUAAAACCCACUCAUCAGGUAGUAAGGGUAAAAGUGAAAUGAGAGCCUCUUUUUCUAAAAAGACUUGGUUCAUUGUCUUUUUUUGAAGAGCCAAAAAGAGGUUGAGUAAAUUUUUUAUCAAACAAGAUAGACUUUGAGCCAAUAAGAGGUUAGGUCAAAAAGAGGUAAAAGAGCUUAUCAAAACUACCUUGUCUAUCCUAAUUUCGUUAUCGUGUCACCACCACUAGACUAACAACUUAUUAAUUAACAAAAAUAUAUUUUUAAUAUUUGUAAAUUUUAUGAAUGUGACUCUUUUGUGGUACUUAGGGUGUAUUAAUCUUUACUGAUUCCAAUGUACUUCCCAUCUUUUGCUGAAAAAGAUUACCUAACCUUUUUAUUUAAUUUACAGUUAAUAACGUAUGCAUUCAAUCGCUACGUAAUGGAAUGAAUCCAAAGACCAGAACAGGGGAAAAAAUUUCUGUUGCAAAAACAAGUUGUUUGUAAGCAAGGAAACUUGGAGAAAAAACAUUUGACCUAUUUUUCCUAGAAAAUGAUUUUCUUUUUAUAAGAUAAUUUCUGUUGAAAUAAACAGAGCCUAAAGAUGAAGGCUUGUCAAAAUCAUCUUGUGGUAGGACCUUGAAUUCUAGAUAUAACAUAUGAUUUUAGAAUUAGGGUUACAAAUCGAAAGAUAAAUAUAGAUGUGCUCUAGUUUGGUUGGCUCUGUUUUAAUUAAAUCAUAAACUCAAUGUGCAUGUAAACUCAAGGUGCAAUACGGGCAUCUGCAUAUACAUGUAGGACUCAAUAUAUAAGGAAUUAACAAAGAUGUUGAGAUGAUGAACUGAAACUAGUAAACCAUUUUUAUACUUAAAGAAAGGAGCUCCAUUGACUCCAUAUACAAUAAAAGAGCUGAAACUAAGCUAGGAUACCACUUUUUAUGGUAGCGUUUCACGGUUGCAUAAACUCAAGAGCUGGAAUGAAGAGAUGGAGACAAUAUAGCAGGUAAACUGAUGACUCUAUGAUGCCUUGGUUGUUUUAUUUUGGAUGCUGAUUAUUUGUCGUGUAGUUUAAUUUAGAUUGAUUCAACCUCAUCUUUGCUUUGGCAGAAAAGAGAGUUCUCUAUGGAAGUACAAUAGAAAUGAGGUAAUUUUUUGAAUUGUCAUUAUUAACUUGCUUAGCUAAUUUAUCAGCACUAGCUAUUUGCGUACAUUUCUUACAUAGAUGCUGAUCUUAAACCGAGAUUGAUCAAAAUGCAUAAAUUUAAGCUUACAUCUUUAUUUGUUUUUAAUUCUUAAAGUUUUCCGUUGUCUUUUCUUUAUAAUUAUUCCUUUUGUCCCAAAAUUAGAGAUACAUUUUCUUUGUUUGUCCAUUUUAAAAUUAGAGAUACAUUUUUAUUUUAGACCAUAAAGUAACAUGAAGGUCCUAACAUGCCAUUAUUUUUAUUCUUAGUUGAUUGAAUACUAUCAUGCUACUACUAUUUCAAGUUGAUGUUUGGGAGAAGUUUUAAACUGAGAAACUACUUAUCUGACCAUCAAAGCUCAUGUAGAUUGCCUUCUGAUCACUUUUAAAUCUACUAUUAAGUAAUAAAUGUCAGUGUUAGUGUGUUUGAGGGGGGAGAGAAGGAGAGGCAAUAGGGAAAGAGAGUAAUAAUCAUGUAAGGAUACAAAAAAAUGCAUCCAUUUAUUUUAUUUACAUUACCUUUUUACACAGUUGAAAUACUAGUAGCUAGUACUCCUUUUAACCAAAGAAACUAUUAAAAGACAUUUGAAAAUAACAGUAGAAAGGGAAAUUUAGUACAAAACAUAUGACAAAUUUACAGGUGACCGCUUGAACCAACCAUCUUGGUCAACCCGAAGGUUAGUGCCAUAGCCACCCAGCCUCCCAGCAGGACUCUAGCAGAAGGCAUAAUUGGCGGUGCGUUCCCUAAUGCAGCUCCAGCCCACCCAAACCCUGCCAGAGUAACACUCACUGCUGCAAUCACCACCUUGAUUCUCACCUCAUAGCUUGUUACAAAUGCUGCAGCUAGGAGUGGAACCAUUGCACCUAUGGUAAAUGCCAAAGCUGAUGCUGCAGCAGCUCGUGGCGGAUUUGGUAAGUUAUCUUUUCCGUGUUCCACUAAUCGCUCUCUCUCCCCUUCAAAUUCCCUUUCUCUCCGCCUCUCCCUUUGAGCCACUUCUAUGUCAAGUUGUGAGUGAACUGAGACAUAUUCUCCUAUGGCCAUGCUACAAGCUCCACCCACUAAACCGGAAAAUCCGAUUAAGAUCAUGGCCUCAACGUCUUGCUUCACUGCUCCAACCCCCAUCAUCAGUGACGCGGUGGAAACCAACCCAUCGCUGGCUCCUAGGACUGCAGCUCGUAUCGAUUGUGCCCUUUCUGAGUAGUCAAUCUCCGUUUGUCCUUCCAGUUCUUGGUUCCUUUGUUGCUCCAUACCGUUGACAUCAGGGAAGGUGAAUCGGGGAUCAAGAAGAGAUGUGUUGUUAGAAGCCAUUGGAUUUGCUAAUUGAUGAUAGUUUGUAGAAGAAAGAAGAGACCGGAGAGCAGAAGAGAUAGAGGUAUCAGGUAUGUGCUAAACUCACUCUUUCAAGUGCGCUAUUUAUAAGGCAAAAAAUUAUGUUGAACCUUUGGUAAAUGUGGUGAGAGCACUCACAAAGAAGAUUUUAUUGUUUACCAAUUAAAGUAGAACUUACUUUAAUUGGUAAAAAUAUAUUUCAUGAUAAAUUUCAGUUGAAAUAUCUCAAUCUUGGUUGUGUUUGAUUGGGGAGAAAAGAUUUGUAAAAAAUUGCUACCUAAAUUCUUGCGAGUAAAACUGAAACAAGAAACUUUUAUCCCAACUAUAAAUUAUCUUAAUUACUUAGUAAUUGAUUCCCAAUAAACAAAGUUGUGCCUAAGAAAACACACUGCCAUUUACUUCUAUAGCUAGAAUGGUAGUAUCUUCAAGAUAGUUCCAUUAAUGAAAAUUAGAAACUUUGAUUUGCUUGAUAAUUAGGAACGGCCACAAUCCGGAGAGUGUUUAGCAAAACUAUGCACAUUUAAGAUUUACUAUUAGUAGCCAAGUCAUACAUGCAAAGCAUCGGUAACUUUAACCACAGUGAAUGGAGAGAGGAGAUCAACUUCUAGGAAGUUACAGGAGUCGGCAACGAUGUGUGAUAUUGUACACGACAAAGCAAACUAAGCAUGCAUUCCGUGUUCUUUUCCGGUGUUCUUUUGGCCAUGUGCGAAACGAUCUUCUUUUGGAUGAUUCCUUUAUCGUUCAACCAUAUCUCAAAACCAUGGCUGUUCCUCUCUGGUAUUUACUUACUCCUUCAGCCAUAUUUGAAAACCAUGUCUGUUCUUUCUGAGUUUUCUUCAUCCUUUCAGCUAUGUUCGAAAAUGGUGCAAUAUACGUGUCAUACGAAUUCCAUCCAGUUCGUCUGCCAUGGCUAAGUAGGAAUCUUUUACAUCAAAUAACUCUUGCUUUCUCUACUCAUUCCAAAUCCUAAUUUACUUUUAUUGAUGAAAGAUUUUUCAUUAAAAGGAACAUUAGUGCUUAUCCUUGGAGGAAUGGAAGCCAGGAACAGGUGAAAGUAAUAAUAAAUGCCUAAAAUAGCUAGUUUUAGAAAUUGCUUGUGUUUUGUUUCGUUUUCCUUUUUAUUUCUUAAAGUAGCUUAAUACAGAUUUUGAAAAUUAGUUAGUUGCAUGUUUUGGAAUUUUUGAUUUGUAUUAAUACGAAUAAAGUUAUCAAACAAUUGGUAGAAAAGAUUGUUGUCUUUAGGCUGUGAAACCUACAGUUUCAAGUCAUACUCACUCUGUCCAACUUUAGAACCAAUGACCUUUGAUUCGUAACAUAUUCAUGGCAAAUUCGUGCAAUAAUUAGUUAUUUACUGUUUUAGAAAUUCUCUAAGACAUGACAGCUAUAGUUUGCAAGAUUUUUAUAGGACAUGGUAUGCCUAUGUGUUGGAGAUAUGUUGUUAAACAGGAUUUACAAACCUAAAAGGUAGUCGCAAAACUCCAUCCUACCUGCGAACAUAAAACAAAUGUUUUAAAGUCAUGAUCUUACUGUAGAUUAAUCCUUUUAUUUUGCAGAUAAUCCUUCAGUUAAUUUACUCCACAUAAUUCUAAGUUGAAUGAUGUAAUGCAUACCUGCAAUAUCUUGUAUUGGAAGCUGUUUGAAAUAUUUUUUUGAUUUGCGAAAUGGCUAAUAACAGUUACUUAAAUCCCUUACUUGCAUGUUUGAGAUUUGAACAAGAGGAACUAAAAAUUGUAUAACAAAUAUUAUGCCUUAGUAUAUCAAACAUAGUCUAUGCACCAAGUAAACUUGACCCAUGUAUGUGUAGCACCUGCUUCAAUAAAAAUUAUCACCCAACUUAGGUAUGACUGCCAACUUAUGUUAGAUACGAAUGCCACCUAUAAUUGAAUUGACUAUUUUUUAUGAAUGGCUUACCAAUAUAUUUUUAUGCACAGGGGAUUGAAGUUGCGCUCAAUCAACUUUAGAGUGCAUGCAAGCUGCAACGACAUGAGAGCAGGGCAUCCGUAAGUUUUCCAGCACGAGCAGUACAUUUCCGUUAAUUCAACUACUUAGCAGGUUACCACCGUCUUUUUGGGAAGUCAUUUGCCCGAACGGAAGCUUAGCGUCUGUCCAAACGGAAGCGCCCUUUCUGGCAAGCUUAAAACUACGUCGUUUUUGGCUCAAACAGACGCAUCCUUUCUGACAAGCCCAAAACUACGUCGUUUUUUGCCCGAACAGACGCGCCUAUUCUGUAAAGGUCCAAAAUUACGUCGUUUUGACUGAAUAUGUCAUACAUUUUCAUAAGCAUUCUAUGUCUUUUCAAGUGGUUGUGUCCUAUAAAUGGGCUAGAGCGGACAACCAUUUCGAUUAUUCCAUUUCCAAGCAAUUCAAACAUUCUAGUUUUCAUUAUUACAUGAAUUAUUCAUAGUUUAUUUGAAAGAAAAAU
rnacentral:lncRNA from 1 species